GCAGAAAUUGUUUUGAAGCAGAUUUCAAGGCCUGAAAGACACAGGCUUGAAAUCAUAUCUGCCAGGUCAGAAGAGCUGAUCACAGUUGGGAAAAGACAUUUUCAUUUUCAACCACAAAAUUGCUCUUCAUUUCUGCAAAACAAUGAGGAAAGUGAAACUGGAAGCAAGCCAGACCUUCAGCCACCGAGGAUGAUCAUCUUCCUGACCCAGCAGCUGCUUGAGAAAAUACUUUUGCCAUCGUCAAAAGAGGGGUUGAGAUACCAUAUUGACAUUGCCUCCUGCUCGAGAAGAUGUUGACUUCUGUCCUUUGUUUCAGAAGAUGCCACCUUUGAUGGUAAUCUCUCUUUUUGUAUAGUAAUGAAAUUGAUGCAAUAAAGUGGGACCAAGUGUCCUUGCCA
rnacentral:lncRNA from 12 species